rnacentral:rRNA from 1 species
UACGUAGGGUGCAAGCGUUAAUCGGAAUUACUGGGCGUAAAGAGUUCGUAGGCGGUUUGUCGCGUCUGCCGUGAAAGUCCGGGGCUUAACCCCGGAUCUGCGGUGGGUACGGGCAGACUAGAGUGUAGUAGGGGAGACUGGAAUUCCUGGUGUAGCGGUGAAAUGCGCAGAUAUCAGGAGGAACACCGGUGGCGAAGGCGGGUCUCUGGGCAGUAACUGACGCUGAGGAGCGAAAGCGUGGGGAGCGAACAGG